GAUGAACGCUGGCGGCGUGCCUAAUACAUGCAAGUCGAGCGAACGGACGAGAAGCUUGCUUCUCUGAUGUUAGCGGCGGACGGGUGAGUAACACGUGGAUAACCUACCUAUAAGACUGGGAUAACUUCGGGAAACCGGAGCUAAUACCGGAUAAUAUUUUGAACCGCAUGGUUCAAAAGUGAAAGACGGUCUUGCUGUCACUUAUAGAUGGAUCCGCGCUGCAUUAGCUAGUUGGUAAGGUAACGGCUUACCAAGGCAACGAUGCAUAGCCGACCUGAGAGGGUGAUCGGCCACACUGGAACUGAGACACGGUCCAGACUCCUACGGGAGGCAGCAGUAGGGAAUCUUCCGCAAUGGGCGAAAGCCUGACGGAGCAACACCGCGUGAGUGAUGAAGGUCUUCGGAUCGUAAAACUCUGUUAUUAGGGAAGAACAUAUGUGUAAGUAACUGUGCACAUCUUGACGGUACCUAAUCAGAAAGCCACGGCUAACUACGUGCCAGCAGCCGCGGUAAUACGUAGGUGGCAAGCGUUAUCCGGAAUUAUUGGGCGUAAAGCGCGCGUAGGCGGUUUUUUAUGUCUGAUGUGAAAGCCCACGGCUCAACCGUGGAGGGUCAUUGGAAACUGGAAAACUUGAGUGCAGAAGAGGAAAGUGGAGUUCCAUGUGUAGCGGUGAAAUGCGCAGAGAUAUGGAGGAACACCAGUGGCGAAGGCGACUUUCUGGUCUGUAACUGACGCUGAUGUGCGAAAGCGUGGGGAUCAAACAGGAUUAGAUACCCUGGUAGUCCACGCCGUAAACGAUGAGUGCUAAGUGUUAGGGGGUUUCCGCCCCUUAGUGCUGCAGCUAACGCAUUAAGCACUCCGCCUGGGGAGUACGACCGCAAGGUUGAAACUCAAAGGAAUUGACGGGGACCCGCACAAGCGGUGGAGCAUGUGGUUUAAUUCGAAGCAACGCGAAGAACCUUACCAAAUCUUGACAUCCUUUGACAACUCUAGAGAUAGAGCCUUCCCCUUCGGGGGACAAAGUGACAGGUGGUGCAUGGUUGUCGUCAGCUCGUGUCGUGAGAUGUUGGGUUAAGUCCCGCAACGAGCGCAACCCUUAAGCUUAGUUGCCAUCAUUAAGUUGGGCACUCUAAGUUGACUGCCGGUGACAAACCGGAGGAAGGUGGGGAUGACGUCAAAUCAUCAUGCCCCUUAUGAUUUGGGCUACACACGUGCUACAAUGGACAAUACAAAGGGCAGCGAAACCGCGAGGUCAAGCAAAUCCCAUAAAGUUGUUCUCAGUUCGGAUUGUAGUCUGCAACUCGACUACAUGAAGCUGGAAUCGCUAGUAAUCGUAGAUCAGCAUGCUACGGUGAAUACGUUCCCGGGUCU
rnacentral:rRNA from 1 species